rnacentral:rRNA from 1 species
GAGUAAAGAUUUCGGUCGCUUUGGGAGGAGCUCGCUUACUAUCAGCUUGUUGGUAGGGUAAUGGCCUACCAAGGCUAUGACGGUUAGGGGGUGUGAGAGCAUGACCCCCAGCAUUGGCACUGAAACACUGGCCAAACACCUACGGGUGGCUGCAGUCGAGAAUCUUCCACAAUGGGGGAAACCCUGAUGGAGCGAUGCUGCGUGCGGGAUGAAGGCCUUCGGGUUGUAAACCGCUUUUGUAGGGGACGAAAUUUUUGACGGUACCCUUUCGAAUAAGAGGUUGCUAACUCUGUGCCAGCAGCAGCGGUAAUACAGAGACCUCAAGCGUUAUCCGGAUUUACUGGGCGUAAAGCGUCUGUAGGGGGUUUAUUAAGUUCCAAGUAAAAUUUCAAGGCUCAACUUUGAAUUCGCUUGGAAAACUAAUAAACUGGAGUCUAGCAGAGGUGCAUGGAACUUGUGGUGUAGGAGUGAAAUCCGUUGAUAUCACAAGGAACACCAAAGGCGAAGGCAUUGCACUGGGCUAGCACUGACCCUGAGAGACGAAAGCGUGGGGAGCAAAACGGAUUAGAUACCCGUGUAGUCCACGCCCUAAACGAUGAAUGCUAAAUGUUCGGGGAUUCGACCCCCUGGGUGUUACAGCUAACGCGUUAAGCAUUCCGCCUGGGAAGUACGGCCGCAAGGCUAAAACUCAAAGGAAUAGACGGGGAUCCGCACAAGCGGUGGAGCGUCUGGUUUAAUUCGACAGUAAGCGUGGUACCUCACCAGGGUUUGACAUCCCUUGACAGCCUUGGAAACAAGGUUUCCUUCGGGCAAGGUGACAGGUGCUGCAUGGUCGUCGUCAGUUCGUGCCGUGAGGUGUUCCGUUAAGUCGGGGAACGAACGAAACCCCUAUUGCAUGUUACAAUUUCUCAUGCAAGACUGCCCGGAUAUACUGGGAGGAAGGUGGGGAUGACGUCAGAUCUGCAUGGUCCUUAUACCCUGGGCGACACAGGCGCUACAAUGGCAGAGACAAAGGGUUGCAAAACCGCAAGGUGAAGCUAAUCCCAAAAACUUUGUCUAAGUUCGGAUUGAAGGCUGCAAUUCGCCUUCAUGAAGCUGGAAUCGCUAGUAAUCGUGAAUCAGCCACGUCACGGUGAAUAUGUUCCCGGAUCUUGUACUCACCGCCCGUCACACCAAGAGAGUUGGUAGCUCCCGAAGCG